rnacentral:rRNA from 1 species
UACGUAGGGCGCAAGCGUUGUCCGGAAUUAUUGGGCGUAAAGAGCUCGUAGGUGGUUUGUCGCGUCUGCCGUGAAAACCCGAGGCUUAACCUCGUGGCUUGCGGUGGAUACGGGCAGACUAGAGGUAGGUAGGGGAGAAUGGAAUUCCCGGUGUAGCGGUGAAAUGCGCAGAUAUCAGGAAGAACACCGACGGCGAAGGCAGCUCGCUGGGACGGUACUGACGCUGAGGCGCGAAAGCGUGGGUAGCAAACAUG